UACGGGGGGGGCAAGCGUUGUUCGGAAUUACUGGGCGUAAAGGGCUCGUAGGCGGCCAACUAAGUCCGACGUGAAAUCCCAAAGCUUAACUUUGGAACUGCGUCGGAUACUGGAUGGCUUGAAUUCGGGAGAGGGAUGCAGAAUUCCAGGUGUAGCGGUGAAAUGCGUAGAUAUCUGGAGGAAUACCGGUGGCGAAGGCGGCAUCCUGGACCGACAUUGACGCUGAGGAGUGAAAGCUAGGGGAGCAAACGGG
rnacentral:rRNA from 1 species